UCCCUUGUAGCUCAGUCGGUAGAGCGUUCGGCUUUUACGACACAUCAAGUGAACCUUGGUGAGCAGCUAAUAAGGUACCGAAAUGUCCAGGGUUCGAGCCCCUGCAGGGGAG
rfam:Lipomyces starkeyi NRRL Y-11557 unplaced genomic scaffold LIPSTscaffold_11, whole genome shotgun sequence.